rnacentral:rRNA from 1 species
GACGAACGCUGGCGGCGUGCUUAACACAUGCAAGUCGAACGGAAAGGCCCUGCUUUUGUGGGGUGCUCGAGUGGCGAACGGGUGAGUAACACGUGAGUAACCUGCCCGUGACUUUGGGAUAACUUCAGGAAACUGGGGCUAAUACCGGAUAGGAGCUCCCGCUGCAUGGUGGGGGUUGGAAAGUUACGGCGGUUGGGGAUGGACGCGCGGCUUAUCGGCUGGAUGGUGGGGGAGUGGCUUACCGAGGCUGUGAAGGGUAGCCGGCCUGUGAGGGUGACCGGCCACCUUGGGUCUGAGAUACGGCCCAGGCUCCUACGGGAGGCAGCUGUGGGGAAUUUUGCACGAUGGGCGGCAGCCUGAUGCAGCAACGCCGCGUGCGGGAUGACGGCCUUCGGGUUGUAAACCGCUUUCGCCUGUGACGAAGCGUGAGUUACCGUUAUCGGAAAAGAAGCACCGGCCUACUACGUUC